rnacentral:lncRNA from 10 species
GUUUUCUAAAUAUCUGUCAUCUGAAAACAGGGACAAUUUGACUUCCUCUCUUCCUAAUUGAAUAACCUUUAUUUUUAUUUCUUUCUCUUGCCUGAGUGCCCUGGCCAGAACUUCCAAUACUAUGUUGAAUAGGAGUGGUGAGAGAGGGCAUCCCUGUCUUGUGCCAGUUUUCAAAGGGAAUGCUUCCAGUGUUUCCUCAUUCAGUAUGAUAUUGGCUGUGGGUUUGUCAUAAAUAGCUCUUAUUAUUUUGAGAUAUGUUCCAUUGAUACCUAGUUUAUUGAGUUUUUAGCAUGAAGGAGUGUUGAAUUUUGUCAAAGGCCUUUUCUGCAUCUAUUGAGAUAAUCAUGCGGUUUUUGUCACUGGUUCUGUUUAUGUGAUGGAUUAUGUUUAUUGAUUUGUGUAUGUUGAACCAGCCUUGCAUCCCAGGGAUGAAGCUGACUUCAUCGUGGUGGAUAAGCUUUUUCAUGUGCUGCUGGAUUCUGUUUGCCAGUAUUUUAUUGAGGAUUUCUGCAUCAAUGUUCAUCAGAGAUAUUGGCCUGAAAUUUUCCUUUUUUGUGGUGUCUCUGCCAGGUUUUGGUAACAGGAUGAUGCUAGCCUCAUAAAAUGAGUUAGGGAGGAUUCCCUCUUUUUCUAUAGUUUGGAAUAGUUUCAGAAGGAAUGGUAUCAUCUCCUGUUUGUACCUCUGGUAGAAUUCGGCUGUGAAUCCAUCUGGUCCUGGACAUUUUGUUGGUAGGCUAUUAAUUACUGCCUCAAUUUCAGAACUUGUUAUUGGUCUAUUCAGGGAUUCAACUUCUUCCUGGUUUAGACUUGUGGGGGGUGUUAUGUGUCCAGGAUUUAUCCAUUAUUACAGGUUUUCUCAUUUAUUUGCAUAGAGGUGUUUAUAGUAUUCUCUGAUGGUAGUCUGUACUUCUGCGGGAUUGGUGGUGAUAUCCCCUAUAUCUUUUUUUUUUUUUUUUUUUUUUCUUGAGACAGAGUUUUGCUCUGUCGCCCAGGCUGGGGUGCAGUGGCGCGAUCUUGGCUCACUGCAAGCUCUGCCUCCCGGGUUCACACUAUUCUCCUGCCUCAGCCUCCCAAG